GGUUGUGGCUCAGCGGUAGAGUGCUUGCCUUGAAUGUGCAAGGACCUGGGUUUGAUCCUCAGCACUAACUA
rnacentral:tRNA from 1 species